CCUACGGGAGGCUGCAGUGAGGAAUAUUGGUCAAUGGGCGGAAGCCUGAACCAGCCAAGUCGCGUGAAGGACGACGGUCCUAAGGAUUGUAAACUUCUUUUGUCAAGGAACAAAGUCACGCACGUGUGCCUGAUUGAGUGUACUUUAAGAAAAAGCAUCGGCUAACUCCGUGCCAGCAGCCGCGGUAAUACGGAGGAUGCGAGCGUUAUCCGGAUUUAUUGGGUUUAAAGGGUGCGUAGGCGGGCUGUUAAGUCAGCCGUGAAAAGUCGGGGCUCAACCCCGGGAUAGCCGUUGAAACUGGCAGUCUUGAGUGGGCGAGAGGUAUGCGGAAUGCGCAGUGUAGCGGUGAAAUGCUUAGAUAUUACGCAGAACUCCGAUUGCGAAGGCAGCUUACCGGCGCCGAACUGACGCUGAGGCACGAAAGCGUGGGUAUCGAACAGGAUUAGAUACCCGUGUAGUC
rnacentral:rRNA from 1 species